UACAGUGCGGUUAAAAGAUCCUCAUUCUGGCUUACCAAUUAUCGCUGAGGGAAUGCCAUUUUGGGUUGCUGAUCCAUUUGAUUUCGGUAGUGGACUUGUGAAUGCACAUGCUGCAAAUAAUUCGGGCCUCAUCUAUGAUAUGGGAACCUUUGACUACAUUCUUUAUUUGCUCUCGAUGGGCUACAAGAGUAGCCACAUCAGCAACAUGAUUGACGAAGGAGCUGCAUCUUUCCCAAUCAAGAGGCCUUCGAUUCUUGACGUCAAUCUUUCUUCUUUAAUCGUACCAAGUCUCAAAGAUACUCAAUGUUAGAAGAACCGUCACCAACAUUGGACCAGAGAACUCCAAAUAUGAAGCCAUCAUUGAGCCUCCACCAGGCAUUACCAUAAAAGUAAAGCCUGACACUUUGAUAUUCAACUCCGACACCGAGCAAAUCUCUUUCACUCUCACCAUUUCAGCCACUCACGAAUACAACACAACGUUUGAGUUCGGGAGCCUUACUUAGACUGACGGGGUGCACCAAGCUUUAAUACCAUGGCGCUGAAGCAACAUUUUGGAAAAAAAACUUUUGGAACUUGAAGAGGAAAGAAGAGCGGUGCAGGUAAUAAAAACAAGUGCGAGAUAGAUUAUUAGCUAAGGUUGAAAACCGUGCAGCCAAUACCGAUGGACAAGCAAUAAAAUUGCAAUACACACAUUCCCCGAAACUAAAGUCCCUUGAUGCACAGGAAUUUGCUGAGGUAUAUAAGUCGUUCCAUGUUGGAGAGAAACUCGCCAAUGAGCUUGCAACUCCAUGUGACAAGAGCAAAAGCCACCCCACUGCUUUGUCUACUAAGAAGAAUUGUAUAGGAAUGAAACAAAUGUUUAAGGUCUGCGCUGAAUGAGAAUUCCUACUAAUGAAGAGGAGUGCAUUUGUAUACAUAUUAAAGAUGUUUCAGGUACCGACUACUUGGUUUAUUAGAAACAUAAUCAAGGAAUGUAUGUUGGUGCUCUCUUUAUCGUGGUCGUUAUGAUCAUGUUUAACGGAAUGGCUGAGAUCAACCUGACUAUUUUAAAGCUUACCGACUUCUUCAAGCAAAGGGACCUCCUCUUUUACACUUCAUUGGCUUUUUCCCUUCCAACAUGGAUUCCCAGAA